AAUAUUACAAAUUCGCUUGUGGUCGUAGAACGGCGACCGGCCAUACAAAACGCUGUCAACAUUUCGGAGCACAAGCUGAAGCAGCUUUUACAAAAUGGGCAAUGUCGGUAGUAGUAAUCGUAGUGAUCCUUAUCGAUCUUCACAGCCUCAAAGCUAUCAGUAUUAUGAGCAGCAAGACCACAGAUGCGGAAUCGUGAUCAAUACAAUGUAUCAGGAAAUGUGAACGAAGCGAGCGUGGGCCCACGUAUUGUUGUGCACGGCACUCCGUACAUAGACCGACCGAGCCAAUAUGAGGUAAGGAACGGACCGAAGAGAAUACAAAACACAGCACGCCGAAAUCUUCACACAGCGGCGCAGAGAUGUGUGUACGCGAGUUUGGCAUUUCACCACAACGACCACAAGCAAUAUCAGAAACCUCUAUGCUCUCAACACAGAGAACACCGCGGCGACCUCAACCGUUGCGACCUCCAAUCAGGCACGUCGCGCAACAGCAGCAGCAACCAGUGCGCAAUCCGAUAGAAUCGUGUAAUUGUAAGGCCUGUCGCGAAAGGAUGAGAAAUUAGCAGCAUAUGAGCAGGUCAUCAGCCGCCGCCAACACAACUUAGUGUCACCUAUCGAAUUGACGUCAACUUCAACGGCACCAAAGCGUAUUGCCUGCACCAUCGACAACUCUUGUACUGGCUGUAGCCGUGGCGUCAGGGCUACAUAGAGCCAUACUCAGCAGCGCGCAGUACAGCUUUUGACAGGAACUUGAAUGACACGAUUUCUGUAGAACGUUCAGGAAGGAGUUGCUGCAAAUAUGCGGAUGAAACUUAUGCAAAUACGUCGACGCGUAUGCAUCAGAGUUCCACACCAAGCGAACCCAAACAUCCAAGUGCAGGGGUGACCCAGCCAAUUACUCGACGCGAAUACACGAGAGCUCAGUGGGAAAUGAAACCCAACAUCCAAAUACAUGGACGAAGCAUAUCCCAUUACUUCGACGCGAAUCCAUAAUAAUACCAUCUCAAGGAAAGUCAAGCGUGCAAAUAUAGGGAGAAACUUAUGCAGACACGUUAACCCGGAUGCCUUCGAGCAUCGUGCAAACCAAUCAUCGAAACCAGCGCAAUUACAAGUAUGCUACGAUGGCGGAAUGAUAUCGAGUGGUGGCGCUACUUCAGAUGAGGUAUCAGAUUUUCAUCAUGAAUGCUUGGACGCUCAUAAUAGAUAUCGUGGCCGACAUCAGAACUGCCCACCUCUAUCUCUGAGCAAAGAAUUGAGUAGAUAUGCGCAACAAUGGGCGAAGCAUCUGGCCGCUACUGGUCGCCUGGAACACCGUCAAGUGCACACAUACGGAGAAAACUUGUACACAUCACGUGGCAUGGAGGUAGAUGGCGCUACAGUGGUGAAAAACUGGUACGAUGAGAUACGCAAUUAUGAUUUCUCGAAAGCCACCUAUAAGCCUGGUACCGGACAUUUUACGCAAAUUGUGUGGCGCGAGAGUCGACAAUUAGGUGUGGGUAUUGCGGCAAGAGGUGAUACUACGUACGUCGUUUGUAACUACAAUCCGCCUGGAAAUAUACUCGGUAGUUUUGACGGCAUGGUGCCACCGUUAAAGUGAAGCAAAAAAAAAAAUAAAAUUAUUAUAUAAAAUGUGAUAAAUUUUACCUACCAUAUCUAGGUUGACUAAUGUGUGCAGUAAAGCAGUAAAACUUUUGUGCUUUUAUAAGUGAUUUA